UAAAUCAACAAAUCAUGCUAGAAUUAAAUCUCAUCCAUAAUUGCAAUUAUGUUUUGAAUAUGACAUUAUAACAAACCAUAGUGUUCCACGUUGCAAGCUUUUGAACCUACAUUUAAUUUAACAAUUUAUCUGUAAUCAGAUUUGCUACAAAUUUGGCAGCAGUAAGCUUAUGCCCCGAGUACCCUUCUUUGGCAUAUUAUCCAAUAGGGUGCGAGCUUCAUCAAUGGCCUAUAUUCUUCAUACAUAUCAGCAAGUACUCAUAGUGUUGACAUUCUUCAUUAGUUAAUUCAACAAGGGACAAAAACCAACAGUUGCUCAUUGGCGGCAUUGUAUAUUAGUCAUCAGAAGAAUUUAUACAAAAAAAAUAAGAUAGCACCCCAAAAACAGUAAACUAGAGAUACAAAAUAAAAUUUUAGCUGGACUUUAAGGCUCUAGAAACGGACAUAUGGAAUUUCAAUGUAAAACGACAAGAAUCACAAGAAAUUAAACCAGCCUAUAGAAGCCAGCACUGAGAAGACAAUCAAAGAAAACAAGGGAAACAGAUACAUAGACAAAAAGUCACAAGAAUAGUAAGAAUGUAGUGUUCUGAACAAAAGCAAUUUAUCUUCAAGAAGUGACAUAUUUAUCGGAACACAUUAAGCGAUGGUUUGACCAGUCGAAACCCUUAUUAUUUUGAAUGAUACAAGGUGUUGCAGGUUGAACUCAUGAAUGCAGAACAUGAAGGGACCUGCCUAAUAACCUGGUAAAAAACUUGAUUGAUAUUAUCAAUGACCUUUCAUGUUAAAGAUAUUAUGAUUCUGGAUUUACUUUCUCUGUAGCAUUUUCAAUCAAAACAUGUAAUGACUGUACAACUAAGGACUACAUAUAUGUGAAAGAUAAUAUUUCAAGAAAAUGGAAAUACCACUCAUUCGGUCGAUGGCAUGUUUCUAGCAGAACAAGAACAAUAUUCAAC
rnacentral:lncRNA from 1 species